ACACAUGCAAGCCGAACGGCAGCAUGAUCUAGCUUGCUAGAUUGAUGGCGAGUGGCGAACGGGUGAGUAAUACAUCGGAACGUGCCCUGUAGUGGGGGAUAACUAGUCGAAAGAUUAGCUAAUACCGCAUACGACCUGAGGGUGAAAGUGGGGGACCGCAAGGCCUCAUGCUAUAGGAGCGGCCGAUGUCUGAUUAGCUAGUUGGUGAGGUAAAGGCUCACCAAGGCGACGAUCAGUAGCUGGUCUGAGAGGACGAUCAGCCACACUGGGACUGAGACACGGCCCAGACUCCUACGGGAGGCAGCAGUGGGGAGUUUUGGACAAUGGGGGCAACCCUGAUCCAGCAAUGCCGCGUGUGUGAAGAAGGCCUUCGGGUUGUAAAGCACUUUUGUCCGGAAAGAAAUCGCACUUACUAAUAUUAGGUGUGGAUGACGGUACCGGGAGAAUAAGGACCGGCUAACUACGUGCCAGCAGCCGCGGUAAUACGUAGGGUCCAAGCGUUAAUCGGAAUUACUGGGCGUAAAGCGUGCGCAGGCGGUUGUGCAAGACCGAUGUGAAAU
rnacentral:rRNA from 1 species